ACCGAAGCCCGUACCCGCUUCCGGGCGUGACGGGUGGCUGGGUAUCCUCCUUCUGAGGGGUGUAUGGCGCAGCUUGGGCCGGCCUUUGUUGGUCGUGAAUCCCCAGCGCUGCGGCGGACCAUCCCUUGGGCAAUUCAGUGGGGGCAAUUGGAUAGCUUGUGGGCACCUUUGGCGGCUUCGGCCCCGGGGGUGGUUCGGGCUCGGCGUUGGGCUUCGGUCCGCGCCCCGACCUUUUAACUAGCUCUGAGACCUCUUCAUUGAGGGUUGCCGGCAGCCUUUUGCCUUUCGGGGUGGGAGGGUGACCCGGGAAAAGAUAGUUACCUGGUUGAUUCUGCCAGUAGUCAUAUGCUUGUCUCAA
rnacentral:misc_RNA from 1 species